AGUUUAAGUUAAAAUUCUUAGAUGUUUUUAUGGGACGAGAAGACCCUAUAGAGUUUGACAUUUGAUUGCGUAUUUCUCAUUGUUUGUUUUGAAUUUUUGCGUAUCUUUUGUUUUGUUGGGGUGAUGGGAGGAAAUUAUUUAACUCCUCUUUUAUGUGGUAUAUUGAUUUAUAUUUAUUUUGAUCCAUUUAUUUUGAUUGUAAGAUUAAAUUACCUUAGGGAUAACAGCGUUAUCUCCCCUGAGAGUUCUUAUUGGCGGGGGGGUUUGCGACCUCGAUGUUGGAUUAAGGUUAAUUUUUGGUGUAGGAGCUGAAUUGAUUGGGUCUGUUCGACCUUUAAAAUCUUACAUGAUCUGAGUUCAAACCGGCGUGAGCCAGGUUGGUUUCUAUCUAUAAUGAAUUUUAUGCCUUAGUACGAGAGGACCGGGC
rnacentral:rRNA from 1 species